rnacentral:rRNA from 1 species
AUACGUAGGGUGCGAGCGUUGUCCGGAAUUACUGGGCGUAAAGAGCUCGUAGGUGGUUUGUCGCGUCGUCUGUGAAAUUCCGGGGCUUAACUCCGGGCGUGCAGGCGAUACGGGCAUAACUUGAGUACUGUAGGGGAGACUGGAAUUCCUGGUGUAGCGGUGAAAUGCGCAGAUAUCAGGAGGAACACCGGUGGCGAAGGCGGGUCUCGGGGCGGUAACUGACGCUGAGGAGCGAAAGCAUGGGUAGCGAACAGGAUUAGAUGCCCUGGUAGUCCAUGCCGUAAACGGUGGGCGCUAGGUGUAGGGGUCUGCCACGGCUUCUGUGCCGUAGCUAACGCAUUAAGCGCCCCGCCUGGGGAGUACGGCCGCAAGGCUAAAACUCAAAUGAAUUGACGGGG